rnacentral:rRNA from 1 species
GUAACACGUACACAACCUGCCUUAUACUGGGGCAUAGCCUUGGGAAACUAAGAUUAAUUCCCCAUAACAUUGCGAAAUGGCAUCAUUUUGCAAUUAAAAUUACGGUGGUAUAAGAUGGGUGUGCGUCUGAUUAGCUAGUUGGCGGGGUAACGGCCCACCAAGGCAACGAUCAGUAGCUGGUCUGAGAGGAUGAUCAGCCACACGGGCACUGAGACACGGGCCCGACUCCUACGGGAGGCAGCAGUAGGGAAUAUUGGACAAUGGGCGCAAGCCUGAUCCAGCCAUCCCGCGUGAAGGAUUAAGGCCCUAUGGGUUGUAAACUUCUUUUCUCUGGGAAUAAAAAGUGGGAUUUAUCCUGCCUUGAAGGUACCAGAGGAAUAAGCACCGGCUAACUCCGUGCCAGCAGCCGCGGUAAUACGGAGGGUGCAAGCGUUAUCCGGAUUCACUGGGUUUAAAGGGUGCGUAGGUGCUUUGUAAGUCAGUGGUGAAAGCCCGGAGCUCAAUCCGGAACUGCCAUUGAUACUGGUUAGCUUGAAUCAGGUAGAGG